GAUUAGAAUUGAGAGCAGAGCGUUGCAACCUAAUGCCAGCCUAGAUGCUUUCUUCAGGGAGAGCUCGAUUUUUGUUUACACAACACACAGCUUUAAUAAAUUUUGUAGAAUCGGCUUGAACGUUGGAAGAGCUUGCCGUUGGAACCUUGGAGCCUAGCCGUUGGGAGAUUGAUGCUUGAAUGUUGGAGCCUAACGCCGGCUGGACUAGCCGUUGGAGAUUCAUGCAUUUGAAGUCAUGGUCUAUAAAAUCAGGGCAAGAGAGGGUAAGAGGAUUUGUGUUAGGGACUGGUAGUGGGACUGAGAUUCAUACAUUUGAAGCCAUGGCCUAUAAAAUCAGGGCAAGACAGGUAGAGAUUCAUAUAUUUGAAGCCAUGGUCUGUAAAAUCAGGGCAAGAGAGGGAGAGAGGAUUUGUGGCAGUGGGACUGAGCUUUGCAUUUACAUUGGAGUCUUGGGUCAUUGGACAGAAGGUGCUUACGGAAUUAUUUGUCUCUUUGAAAGAUUUAGAAACUGAGUCCCAACGUGCGAUGAAACUCUCGGUUCAUGGCUAAAAGGGCUUGACAGUGAGCUGGUUGUGAUCGAUCAGGUGUCCUGGCCAAAACAGAACAUAAACCUACUCAGAAAUCAUAAGUUUCUCAUGCAAAGUGCUUCAUCUUAUUGAGUUGGCGAUACAAAAAAAUUGAGAAGCCAGUAAUCUAGAUCAGUUCCAAAACCAAAGGAUGUCACAAUUUAAAAAAAAAAGAUUUGCUUAGAAUUUUGGUCAGCAUAGCUCUGUAAGUUUUUUUUUACAUCCCCUGUUUCUCAUUUGUUUGAAUAAAAUGUUUGAAUAUACACGUUGGCAUGCGGUAUGAGUUCAACGAGUAUUAUGCAGAGGAAUACAAAUUGCACCUCAAUGUUCUUCAAUGCUCUGCACCUCCCAUUUUGAUUGGCACAUUAUAACAUACAGUCAAUGAAAAUACAAUUUGCAGAACCCAGGUUCUACACAUGCAUAUGUUUGACUAGUAUACCCAUAUCAUGACUGGAUAAUAUCAAUUAGGCAUUUGCAAAGUAUCCAGAUUAUAACUGAAUGGAAUUUUAAAUGGAAUUUUUUUUUUCUUCUUCUUCAACUGAAUGGAAUUUUGUUGGA